rnacentral:misc_RNA from 1 species
AAGAAUCGCCCCGUUUUUUGAAAUGGGUUCUAUUCCCAAACCGUGUAUACAUACCUUUGUUGCUUUGGCGGGCCGCCUUCGGGCGUUGGCUUCCAGCUGACUGCGCCCGCCAGAGGACCCAAACUCGUUUGUUUAGUGAUGUCUGAGUACUAUAUAAUAGUUA